rnacentral:rRNA from 1 species
AAUAUUGGACAAUGGGCGCAAGCCUGAUCCAGCCACGCCGCGUGAGUGAUGAAGGCCUUCGGGUCGUAAAGCUCUGUGGGGAGGGACGAACCGCUGCUGGUUCAUAGCCAGCAGCAUGACGGUACCUCCUUAACAAGCACCGGCUAACUUCGUGCCAGCAGCCGCGGUAAUACGAAGGGUGCAAACGUUGCUCGGAAUUAUUGGGCGUAAAGCGCACGUAGGCGGCUAUCUAAGUCGGAUGUGAAAUCCCUCGGCUUAACCAAGGAAGUGCACCCGAAACUGGAUAGCUUGAGUACAGAAGAGGAUCGCGGAAUUCCCGGUGUAGAGGUGAAAUUCGUAGAUAUCGGGAGGAACACCAGUGGCGAAGGCGGCGAUCUGGGCUGAUACUGACGCUGAGGUGCGAAAGCGUGGGGAGCAAAC